UGUUCAAAAGACAUGCAGAGAGCAUAAGAGAAAGUAAGAAAAAGGAAAACGAAAACAAAGUAAUCUAUCCUUGCGUCCUUCAAGUAAUUCCAAACUGUGUUUUUCGCAAAAAGUCCCCUCUCCUACUCGGAGUUACUG
rnacentral:ribozyme from 1 species